rnacentral:rRNA from 1 species
AUUGAACGCUGGCGGCAUGCUUUACACAUGCAAGUCGAGCGGCAGCGCGGGGGCAACCCUGGCGGCGAGCGGCGAACGGGUGAGUAAUGCAUCGGAACGUAUCCUCGAGUGGGGGAUAACCCAGCGAAAGUUGGGCUAAUACCGCAUGAGCUCUGAGGAGGAAAGCGGGGGACCUGCGAGGGCCUCGCGCUGGAGGAGCGGCCGAUGUCCGAUUAGCUAGUUGGUGGGGUAAAGGCUUACCAAGGCGACGAUCGGUAGCUGGUCUGAGAGGAUGAUCAGCCACACUGGGACUGAGACACGGCCCAGACUCCUACGGGAGGCAGCAGUGGGGAAUUUUGGACAAUGGGGGCAAGCCUGAUCCAGCAAUGCCGCGUGAGGGAAGAAGGCCUUCGGGUUGUAAAGCUCUUUUGGACGGAACGAAAUGGGCGGGACUAAUACUCCUGUCUGAUGACGGUACCGUAAGAAGAAGCACCGGCUAACUACGUG